rnacentral:rRNA from 1 species
GACGAACGCUGGCGGCGUGCUUAACACAUGCAAGUCGAACGGAAAGGCCCUGCUUUUGUGGGGUGCUCGAGUGGCGAACGGGUGAGUAACACGUGAGUAACCUGCCCUUGACUUUGGGAUAACUUCAGGAAACUGGGGCUAAUACCGGAUAGGAGCUCCUGCUGCAUGGUGGGGGUUGGAAAGUUUCGGCGGUUGGGGAUGGACUCGCGGCUUAUCAGCUUGUUGGUGGGGUAGUGGCUUACCAAGGCUUUGACGGGUAGCCGGCAUGAGAGGGUGACCGGCCACAUUGGGACUGCGAGACGGACCAGACGCCAACGGGAGGCAGCAGUGGGGAAUAUUGCACAAUGGGCGGAAGCCUGAUGCAGCAACGCCGCGUGCGGGAUGACGGCCUUCGGGUUGUAAACCGCUUUCGCCUGAGACGAGGCGUGAGUGACGGUAAUGGGUAAAGAAGCACCGGCUAACUACGUG